UUUCUCAAAUUUGGGGACAGAGUAGGCAGGGCAUUAGACCAGGGCUAUAACGUUGCUGGGCAAGGACAACAGAGGGCAGAGGGACUAGGAGUGGAGUUUUCCUGCAGGAGAAUGAUGAUGAUCAUGAUGAUGAUGAUGGAUCAUGGCUUCUAAGCUGGGGAGUCGGAGCAGCAGUGGCCGGUGACAGUUCACAUCGUGGCCGCUCCAGGCUCAUCAGUUGAGAACUUACUAUGUGCUGGGCACUGUGUUAAGGAAAAUACAUAUUAGCAAACUCUUUCAACCAGCCAGUGUUGCGCUAAAGCUGCUGCUUGCCUCUUCCUUUUCAUGCUACCAAAGCGGAGUUCAGCACAACAGAAACAGAUGGACAGAAAGUUUCAGAAGACAUGGGAUUUUAAAAACCACCGAUCUGUUAGGAAACAGCCUUGUUUCCUCAUUUCCACGGAACAAUACUGUUCUGCAGGAUGACCAAGUGAACACUGCAAUUACUGGGAGGUUUUAUAGACACCAUAAAAUUGUAAAACUGCAGAGGUGAUUUCAGUAAUUUAUUGCUGGCUUCUUCAGCUCCCAGACCAAGUUGUAUACAGGUAAUUAUAAGAGAGGAGUUAACAAAAUACUGGAGUUGGGGAACAGAGAAAAUUUAUUUUUACUAAGUCACAAAGGGCAGGGAGGAGAGAUCAGGCAAACGAUCAAAGUGACAAAAGGCCAUUCCUGGUUAAGAAAAUAGCAGAUGGUGGCAGAAACUUCUAAUUGUCUCCCCUUUCAUGAAGACCAUGCAUUUGGGUAGAGCACAUGGCCACUAGCUAGAGACUAUAUUUUCCAGCCUCUUUGGAGGUAGCCAUGGCCAUGUGACUAGGUUCAGGCCUAUAGCGUGUGAGUAGCAGCGAUCGUGCAACUUGAGUCAACUCCUUAGAGGCAAAGUGACUUACCCCAGGCUUUCUCUUUGCCAGACAUGAAGGUAAGCUUUCUUCAAUCCUGUGGACAAUGGCAACACCUCAGGAGAUGGUGAAGAAAUAAGAUGGUAGGACCUUGAGUCCCUGAAUGACUGUGUGGAGCAGCACUGCCCUUCCAGUUCUGUACACUCACCUCAGGACUACUUCAGGAGGGAAAUACAAACUCUAAUUGAAGGCAUUCUCUUUUCAUUGUCUCUUUGUUACAGCCACUAAAUCUGAAGUCUCAUACAACGUUCAAAGGCACAGGAAUGUGAAACAUCGCGUUAUGCUCAGGGAAAUCCUUAGCAGCCUCUGUAACAGGUGAUUGAUUCCUAUCAGAGAAGAAAACAAGAAGAAAACGGUGGAAGAACUGAAGAGACAUAGCCAGUGUUGAUGAAUAUUUCCCUCCCUACUCCUAAACCUUCCAUUUAUUACCUCCACUGCAAAAACAGGCCUGAAUAGUUUGAGGAUUUUGUCUGGAAUAAAAAAAGAAGAUGCAACUCAAAAUGGUUAAAAUCAUCAAGAAACAGGGGGAUUCUGUAUCUGGCUAAUUUGGAGGCUCACCGAUGAUAUCAAGCACACAGAUUUCUUGUUGUUGUUUGAGACAGGGUCUCUUUCUAUCGCCCAGGCUGGAGUGCAGUGGCGUGAUCAUAGCUCAUGGCUGUCUCUAUCUCCAGGCUCAAGUCUUCCUCCCACCUCAGCCAAUGGCAUAGCUGGGACUACAGGCACACACCAUCAUGCUCAGCUAAUUUUUUAAAUUAUUAUUUUUAGUAGAGAUGAGGUCUCACUAUGUUGCCUAGGCUGGUCUCAGACUCCUGGGUUCAAGUGAUGCUCCUGCAUCAGCCUCCCAAAGUGCUGGGAUUACAGGUGUAAGCCACCAUGCCUGGCCCUCAGAUUGAUUUAAUCUUUCUCCUCCUCAGUCAUCUUUAGCAUUUCGAAUAUCAUGCAGUAGAAAACUCUCAAAGACAAGAUGAGCUUCCCUCUUAAUCCCAAUAAACUGCAGGAUCAGCAGGCGUCAUAUCUUGAGAGAAGCAGAAAAGGGACCAACUUUUCCUUGAGUCUCUUUUACAGAGCUGAGAAGAUUUUUUCCAGAAUUUCAUCCUUCCAGAGUAUCCUCACUCACCAGAAUUGGGUCACAUGUUUAUCAGUGAACAAUCACUUCAGGAGGACAUGACUACUGUAAUUGGCUUAGGUCAGCUAAGAUUCAUCAGAUCACACAGAGUAAAGGGAGACCUGAACAACAUAGAGGCAUGAGAAGGGGAACUGUCUGGUUAUCAAUUUCCAGUGCCUGCUACAAAGAGCUAGAGCCAACGUAAUAUCCCAAAAUUCAGACACUGGCCUGGUUCCUGAAAGGACGUAUUGCAAGUAGUUAUACAAGUCUUGGCCUUUCUGCCCUCGUUGUGGUCAAAUCUCCUGGGAUCAAAGGAAUUCCUCUGGAGACACCAGAGGUGCUGUGGGAUAACCAGAUGUUGUGCUGUCCUAAAAGACUCUGUCAGGGAGGCAUCUCCUCUAACCCCCAUAUCCAUCCUUCACCCUUUUUUCAUUUUUCUAAAACACAGAUCUGAGCAGAUCACUCUCCUACUCAAAAAAAUCAGGUAGCAUUCCAACCUGUGCCCAAGCCAACUUCUCUUCAUAUUCCAUAUAUUUUAUAUGUGAGUGACUGGGAAUGUGUGUUACUUUUCAGUUUCCUUUGUCUUUGCUGUAUCUUGAAUUCCCUUCCCUACUUGCCUGCCUGAUAAAAUCCUACUCAUCCUUCAAGACUCAAAUAAAAUGUCAAAAGUAACCGGCAUCCCCUAAUUUCCCCUUCAUUUGCAUCUCCACAACGAUUGUUACCAUGACUUUUAAGUCAUUCCAUUGCUAUUACAGCCUCCUGACAAGUCUCUCUGCCUUUUCUUGCCUCCCUCCAAUUCUAAGGCCACAUGUCAGAAUGAUAUUUCUAAAGCAAUAAUAUAAUCAUGUCACUCUCUUGCUAAUAUCCUUUAUUGGCUACCUACAGUGCACAGAAUGCAGGUCUGUAACAUGCUUCAUCAAAGCCAUGUUGAUUAGGGUACCCUUUCACCUUAUACUGGAUGUUCUGUCGCAAUGAACUAUCUAUAGUUUAUGAUUACAGUUUGUUCUUUCUCACUUCCAAGAUUGUUGCAAAUUAUGUUGCCUAUGCCUGAAAUGCUUUCCCUCACCACCCCUGCAGCCUUCAGGUCUUAGCUGCCUGGUUUUAUUCUUCUAAGUUUUGGUUAGUGCUCGCCUGUAUGUUUUCAGAGCCCCAUGGGUUUGCUCUAACAUAACAUCUAAGCUGCUGAGAUUUCACAGAUUUUCUGAGGUUCCCUCAGGACAAGGGCUGCUUUUUGUAUAUAGUUGUAAUUCUGGCACAAAGAAAAGAUUCAAAUGUUUGUAAAAGACGAUAUUUGAGUUGAUUCUUGUAGGAUAAGUUGGAGCAACAUAGGCCUUAAAAAUACUGAUUCUUUCACCCCUGUGCAAUAUUGAUUAAGGCUCAGGCACAGUGGUGAAAACUGUUACAGCCCAAUGAGUUCUUCUUGCCUGCUGUCCAGAAAAACCAAUGCACUGAGAACAGCAGGUGUUGCAGCAAAGAGAGUUUAAUAAUCACAGGCUAGUCUAGUAGAAGGACAGGAGAUAAUUCUCAAAUCCACCUCUCUGAGAAUUCAAGGCUAGGGUUUUUCAAUGACAGUUUGGUGGGCAGGUGGCUAGGGAAUGAAGAAUUCUUAUUUGUUGGGUUGGAGAUGACAUCAAAGGGGGUCAAAACUGUCCACCUGAGCUGAGUCAGUUCUUGGGUGGAGGUCACAAGACCAGUUAAGUCAGUUUCUUGGGAUGGGUUACUGGGUCUGGAUGGUUCCAGCUGGUCCAUCAGAAUGCAAGGUCUGAAAAAUACCUCAAACACCAGUCUUUGGUUUUACAAUUAUGAUGCUAUCUAUAGGCGCAGUUGGGGAGGUUAUAAAUCUUAUGACCUCCAGCCACAUGAUGCUGGAAACAUAACUCUACCCUUGUGGCAAAUUUGUUAAUUUUACAAAGGCAGUUCUAGUUCCUGAGCAAGAAGGGGGUUCAUUUUAGGAAGAGAUGCUUAUCGUUGUUUUAAACUAUGAACUAAACUUUUCCCAUAGUUAGCUUGGCUUAUAUCCAGGAAUGAACAUAGAUGGUUAGCUUGUGAGGUUAGAAGGAAGACAGAGUCAGCUAUGAAGAUUUCUCUCACUGUCAUACUUUUUGCAAGGGCAGUUUCAAAACUACAAGCCUUAACUUUUUCAUGGAACUAUCAUUUUUAAAAGUUUCUAAAACUUUCAGCAUUUGUGGACCAUUUACUCUGUGUCCAAAUUGCACAAAUCACCAAUAAAUGCAAACAUUUUCAAAAGAUUCCUCACAAUUUAAGAAAUAAAACUAAAUUAUAAUAUGUUAAUUUUUCAUUGUUAUUAUUAUUAAUAGUUCCAUAUUGGUAAGAAGGAUCAUACUUUUUUUACCGUCUUUCAUGGAAGGAUCCACAGAUAAUUUGAGCCAUUGGCCAGGUUUCUCUUUGUUCUAUUAAAUUACAACUGUUUUAACUCACAAUGAAAAUUUUGGGAGAUAGUUAACAAGGUGGAUCUUUCCAAUGCUUCUGAGCAAAUUAUGGUGAGACUGCAGUAAGAUGUCUCUCUCCAUUCCGUUACAAAACUAGGCACUUGAGUUUGGAUGUUUCAAUUUGAGAGACAGUAGUGGAUGAAUUAUUAAAUCCAAUCUGGGUGAGUUCAGCUUCACAAAGUACUUCAUGUUUUUUUGUAGGCAUGUUCUUAAAUUUUUAAAUAUGUUCAUUAUGUAGGAUCAGUUUAUUUCCCCUGUGAGUGAAGAAAAUCAUCUAGGAUUGAAAAAAAUUGAAAUGCACAGCAACCAAAUCAUCUGUGUCAUAAUUCAGUCUUUUAAAAGAAAUCUUGAUAUCUCAUCCUUAACAUUAAAAAAUCAUUAUAUUUCAGCCCUGAAGUGAUAGUUUUAUGCUAUUCAAUAUGUUGAUAAUAUCAUGCAUAUAAUACUGAACAAGUCACUUGAAGUUAGAACUACCCUUUACUAGAGUAAGCAUACAUCCCUGGGACAGUCCCAGUUUAUGUCUAUUAUCCCAAUAAAAUUAAUAAAAGUGCCCCUUCUUACUCGCUGAAGUGUCCUUGAUCAGACAAUAAAUCAGACAGUCUUCUCAAUGCUUCCUGGCAUUAACAGUAUUAUGUAAUGUAGAAGUGUUUCUAUAUAUGAUU
rnacentral:lncRNA from 10 species